CAGUCGCCGCGGGAAUACGAAGGGUGCAAGCGUUACUCGGAAUUACUGGGCGUAAAGCGUGCGUAGGUGGUGGUUUAAGUCCGUUGUGAAAGCCCUGGGCUCAACCUGGGAAUUGCAGUGGAUACUGGGUCACUAGAGUGUGGUAGAGGAUAGUGGAAUUUCCGGUGUAGCAGUGAAAUGCGUAGAGAUCGGAAGGAACAUCCGUGGCGAAGGCGACUAUCUGGGCCAACACUGACACUGAGGCACGAAGGCGUGGGGAGCAAACAGGAUUAGAUACCCGGGUAGUCCCUGUCUCUUAUAC
rnacentral:rRNA from 1 species